rnacentral:rRNA from 1 species
GGAAAGGCCCUGCUUGCGGGGUACUCGAGUGGCGAACGGGUGAGUAACACGUGGGUGAUCUGCCCUGCACUUCGGGAUAAGCUUGGGAAACUGGGUCUAAUACCGGAUAGGACCGCACUUUAGUGUGUGUGGUGGAAAGUUUUUUCGGUGUAGGAUGAGCUCGCGGCCUAUCAGCUUGUUGGUGGGGUAAUGGCCUACCAAGGCGGCGACGGGUAGCCGGCCUGAGAGGGUGUACGGCCACAUUGGGACUGAGAUACGGCCCAGACUCCUACGGGAGGCAGCAGUGGGGAAUAUUGCACAAUGGGCGCAAGCCUGAUGCAGCGACGCCGCGUGGGGGAUGAAGGCCUUCGGGUUGUAAACUCCUUUCGCUAGGGACGAAGCUUUUGUGACGGUACCUAGAUAAGAAGCACCGGCUAACUACGUGCCAGCAGCCGCGGUAAUACGUAGGGUGCGAGCGUUGUCCGGAAUUACUGGGCGUAAAGGGCUCGUAGGUGGUUUGUCGCGUCGUCUGUGAAAUUCUGGGGCUUAACUCCGGGCGUGCAGGCGAUACGGGCAUAACUUGAGUGCUGUAGGGGUAACUGGAAUUCCUGGUGUAGCGGUGAAAUGCGCAGAUAUCAGGAGGAACACCGAUGGCGAAGGCAGGUUACUGGGCAGUUACUGACGCUGAGGAGCGAAAGCAUGGGUAGCGAACAGGAUUAGAUACCCUGGUAGUCCAUGCUGUAAACGGUGGGCGCUAGGUGUGAGGGUUUUUCUACGAUUCUCGUGCCGUAGCUAACGCAUUAAGCGCCCCGCCUGGGGAGUACGGCCGCAAGGCUAAAACUCAAAGGAAUUGACGGGGGCCCGCACAAGCGGCGGAGCAUGUGGAUUAAUUCGAUGCAACGCGAAGAACCUUACCUGGGCUUGACAUACACGAGAUCGCUGCAGAGAUGUAGUUUCCCUUUUGU